rnacentral:rRNA from 1 species
UACGAAGGGGGCUAGCGUUGCUCGGAAUCACUGGGCGUAAAGCGCACGUAGGCGGACUCUUAAGUCGAUGGUGAAAUCCUGGAGCUCAACUCCAGAACUGCCUUCGAUACUGGGAGUCUUGAGUUCGGGAGAGGUGAGUGGAACUGCGAGUGUAGAGGUGAAAUUCGUAGAUAUUCGCAAGAACACCAGUGGCGAAGGCGGCUCACUGGCCCGAUACUGACGCUGAGGUGCGAAAGCGUGGGGAGCAAACAGG